rnacentral:rRNA from 1 species
UACGGAGGGGCUAGCGUUGUUCGGAAUCACUGGGCGUAAAGCGCACGUAGGCGGAUUGUUAAGUCGGGGGUGAAAUCCUGAGGCUCAACCUCAGAACUGCCUCCGAUACUGGCAAUCUCGAGUUCGGAAGAGGUUGGUGGAACAGCUAGUGUAGAGGUGAAAUUCGUAGAUAUUAGCUAGAACACCAGUGGCGAAGGCGGCCAACUGGUCCGACACUGACGCUGAGGUGCGAAAGCGUGGGGGAGCAAACAGG